AUUGAACGCUGGCGGCAGGCCUAACACAUGCAAGUCGAGCGAGCGGCGCACGGGUGAGUAAUGUAUGGGGAUCUGCCCGAUAGAUGGGGAUAACUUCUGGAAACUAUCGCUAAUCCCGCAUAAUAUCGUAUGAACCCAUAUGGGAUGAGCUAGUAGUUGGGGUAAAGGCUCACCUAGGCGACGAGCCCUAGCUGGUCUGAGAGGAUGAUAAGCCACACUGGAACUGAGACACGGCCCAGACUCCUACGGGAGGCAGCAGUGGGGAAUAUUGAACAAUGGGCGCAAGCCUGAUGCAGCCAUGCCGCGUGUAUGAAGAAGGCCUUAGGGUUGUAAAGUACUUUCAGCGGGGAGGCGUUACCCGCAGAAGAAGCACCGGCUAACGCCGUGCCAGCAGCCGCGGUAAUAC
rnacentral:rRNA from 1 species